AAUGUUUUGGAAUAUUCGUAUGAAGUUCAUCAUUAAUUUAAUGCAGAGUUAAAAACAAGAGCCAGACACUGUCUCCAGUACAAUGGCUGUGCUGCUGAUGAGGGCCGAAGAAUGAGGGACUAAAUAAUCAGUGUUUUUGUUCUCUUCAAUACAAUUUUAACCAGUACUGACAGCAUCUCCACAACACAGGACUUUCAAAAUAAUUCUUUUCUUUUUUCUUUUUUGCAGUUGGAGUUUAUUUUCAGGUUCCUCUCAGAAACACAGAAACACAUCUCUUCCUAUCUCCGUUCUUUGGAUGGAGGCGACAUGAACGAACACAACCCUCCGAUGAUGAAGCCGAGGAGGUUUAUUGACGGACGGACGUACGAGAGUCUGCUGUCGCUCUCUCCGCCUUCGUUUCCAACGCUGUCGGUGAGAGCGUGGAGAUUCAUCCAUCAGUUAAUCAACGAUAUUAAUAGAUUUUAAAAAGAAAGAGGAAAUAGCGUGAUCGUCUCAGUGAUGCUGCUUUUGGAGGUGGUUUCCCUCGACCGCCUUUCACUCGUGGAGUUCCUCUGGAGUUUGUACCACGUCAAACACAAACAGGUGAACGCCACAGCGCCACUGACCAUGACGGACGAGGAUCCAAGGGAGCUGCGAAGACGUUCUGGAGGAUGUCGACCUGCUGAUGAGGACAUCAGAUCAGACGAGGCGUCGUUCUAAAGUUACAAGGGAGGGACGGCGUCCUGGACCGAAUCCAAACAGCAAACAGAGGUACGCAGCUUCCCUGAGCUGCUCCACCAUCAC